CCAAUAGCUAAGAUAAGGAGUAGUAAACUAGUUAGCUUUUAUGAUAGAGAGUAAGGCCACAGGCUGAAAGCCUUAUUAAAAGAUGCUAGUUGAAUGCCCCUUUAAGCUGAGUAGUUGAAGGAACAGUAGACUAUUUCGUUUAACCAGCGUUAAUGGUUAAAAGUCGGUUUUAUGUUUAACAAACAGAGUGGAACCGCGGGCCUUUCGUCUCUGUA
rnacentral:ncRNA from 1 species